rnacentral:lncRNA from 1 species
GUGCAAUACUGGUUCAGAGUGCUCUAAAGCACCGGUUUAGUUUUAGCGUGAAUUUGUAUUGAACUAGGUGAAAAACAGGGAAAUCUGGUCGGUAAGCAUUCCGUAGUUGUCGAAAACGUUAUCCGAGCAAGUGCGACUCAGAGGGGUUCACAAUCGUCGCGAAAAGGAGCAUUGUUGCGAAGGAAUAUUCCGAGGCUAGAUCGCUAAAAGAAUUUUAUAAUUUAUCAAUUACGCCGAAUAAAUUUAUUGAAUUUGAAUCUAGUUCCUCGCUGCUCUCGCAACAUUUUAUAAAAUUCUUUUACCAUGUCGGAGAAGUCGACGCAUUGUGUAGCAAAUCCCACUGGAGUACCAGGAAACACCGACAACAUCACCGGAGCGGCCACAGCAACGAACGCAAGUAAUGUCCCCUCCGUUGUCAUACUGCCACCUCCUAGCGUUGGAGAACAGGUAAAUUUCGAAGUUGUCCCGACUCGAGUCCGCCCGAUCAUAGCGAGCACCGUCAAUGUUGGUCAGAUGAUGCGCGGAACUGAGAGUACCGUUCGUAGAAAUCCGUUACGUGAAGUUCGUAGAAACGUAGAUCAUCGGUGCAGAUUGUGUGAGAAGCGUGACAAUGAAGAAAUGGUGCAGUGUGAUGGAUGUGAUAGAUGGUUCC